UUUGUAAACUUGAACUCUAAUUGGUGUUGGUUUGAGGUUUUGUUUUUAUCUUGUUUUUUAGGGUGAAAUCAGAAAUUUUUAUUAAUGGUGCCUUAAACUUUAAGAUUUGGUGAAUGAAUCAGAUUAGUACCUGAUUAAACAAAAGUUAAAAGAGCAGGAGUAAAGUUAUGUUUAAACUGAAAGAGUAUUGGCAGGUUUUUAAAUUAUCUUUGGAGGUUGAGUAGUAAUUGAGAGCCCUCAUUAACAACUUUUACUGUAGGCGCAUGUAUGAUCGUUUAUUUUAUUCUUAAGGAUUGCAAUUUUAGAUGGGUCUCUGUUAAAAUAGAUAGAUAUUUGGUGUAUGUAGAAGAUUUAAUUUGACCUACAGUAUAUUAUUUUGUGGAUACCUCUCUAGUAGGGGGUUGAAAGUGUAAAAGACAGUAAGUUUUUUUUUAUGUAAGACUGAAGUUUAUUUAAGAACGGUACAAAUCAUCCAUCAAUUGCCUUCA
rnacentral:rRNA from 1 species